rnacentral:rRNA from 1 species
GAUGAACGCUAGCGGCAGGCCUAAUACAUGCAAGACGAACGGUAAGUUGAGUAGCAAUACUUGACCUAGAGUGUCGUACGGGUGCGUAACACGUAUGCAACCUACCCAUAACAGGAGGAUAGCUCCCCGAAAGGGGAAUUAACCCUCCAUAGUAAUAUUGAAUGGCAUCAUUUGGCAUUUAAAACUCCGGUGGUUAUGGAUGGGCAUGCGUCUGAUCAGUUAGUUGGCGGGGUAACGGCCCACCAAGGCGAUGAUCAGUAGGGGAACUGAGAGGUUGAUCCCCCACACUGGCACUGUGAUACGGGCCAGACUCCUACGGGAGGCAGCAGUAGGGAAUAUUGGUCAAUGGAUGGAAGUCUGAACCAGCCAUGCCGCGUGCAGGAAGAAGGCCUUAUGGGUUGUAAACUGCUUUUGCCAGGGGAUAAAAUAGCUGUGCGCAGCGAAUUGCAGGUACCUGGUGAAUAAGCCACGGCUAACUACGUGCCAGCCGCCGCGGUAAUAC